rnacentral:rRNA from 1 species
UACGAAGGGGGCUAGCGUUGUUCGGAUUUACUGGGCGUAAAGCGUGCGCAGGCGGUUGUGUAAGACAGGUGUGAAAUCCCCGGGCUCAACCUGGGAACUGCAUUUGUGACUGCAUGGCUGGAGUGCGGCAGAGGGGGAUGGAAUUCCGCGUGUAGCAGUGAAAUGCGUAGAUAUGCGGAGGAACACCGAUGGCGAAGGCAAUCCCCUGGGCCUGCACUGACGCUCAUGCACGAAGACGUGGGGAGCAAACAGG